AUACAUGCAAGUCGAACGAACUCUGGUAUUGAUUGGUGCUUGCAUCAUGAUUUACAUUUGAGUGAGUGGCGAACUGGUGAGUAACACGUGGGAAACCUGCCCAGAAGCGGGGGAUAACACCUGGAAACAGAUGCUAAUACCGCAUAACAACUUGGACCGCAUGGUCCGAGUUUGAAAGAUGGCUUCGGCUAUCACUUUUGGAUGGUCCCGCGGCGUAUUAGCUAGAUGGUGGGGUAACGGCUCACCAUGGCAAUGAUACGUAGCCGACCUGAGAGGGUAAUCGGCCACAUUGGGACUGAGACACGGCCCAAACUCCUACGGGAGGCAGCAGUAGGGAAUCUUCCACAAUGGACGAAAGUCUGAUGGAGCAACGCCGCGUGAGUGAAGAAGGGUUUCGGCUCGUAAAACUCUGUUGUUAAAGAAGAACAUAUCUGAGAGUAACUGUUCAGGUAUUGACGGUAUUUAACCAGAAAGCCACGGCUAACUACGUGCCAGCAGCCGCGGUAAUACGUAGGUGGCAAGCGUUGUCCGGAUUUAUUGGGCGUAAAGCGAGCGCAGGCGGUUUUUUAAGUCUGAUGUGAAAGCCUUCGGCUCAACCGAAGAAGUGCAUCGGAAACUGGGAAACUUGAGUGCAGAAGAGGACAGUGGAACUCCAUGUGUAGCGGUGAAAUGCGUAGAUAUAUGGAAGAACACCAGUGGCGAAGGCGGCUGUCUGGUCUGUAACUGACGCUGAG
rnacentral:rRNA from 1 species